rnacentral:lncRNA from 1 species
AUGAAGAAAGAUAAGGACAGUUCAACUAUAGUAGCGAAUAUAUGCUCAUUAUUUGCGAGUAUACAAAGGGUGACAAGCAAAAAAAAUUUGCUAAAUGAUUUAUCUAAAUUAUUUAUUUUAUUAUAUAAUGAAAAAUCAAAAAGAAAUUUGUUAUAUGAUUGUUAUAAGGAUAAGAAUAUUAAUUUUGAAGAUGAUGAGCAUAAAUUAAAUCGUAUUUUUAAAAAAGAUUGUGUAAUUAUUAAAACCCGUAAGAAUAACACGAAUUAUACAAAAUAUGAAGAAUGGUUAAAUGAGUGUUUUGAUAAGUUUUUAAAUUUACUGUUUCAGUUAAUAAAUAAUGAUGAUGAAGUAUAUGUAAAAAAAGGUUUAUUUCUUUUGUUUAGUAGUUUACAAAUGGAGUCUACGAUAUAUGAACGUGUAGCCAAAAAAAUGGAUGAUUCUAUAAAUUUUACAAAUAAUCAAUAUGUUACUACAAACGACUAUUUUAACAAUAACAACGAUUAUAAUAGUAUUAACAGUUAUUGUGAUUACAUGCGAGGUGGGUACAAUAAUAAUAUUAGUAGUAGUAAUAAUAACAUUAGUAGUAGUAAUAAUAAUAUUAGUAGUAGUAGUAAUAAUAACAUUAACAAUAAUAGUAAUAACAAUAAAAAUAUUGCGUUCCCCAUUAAAUUAUAUAGAAAAAUUGUUUUCCAUUUUUUAAACAUGCCACAAAUGAAAUUAAGUGUUAUAAAAUAUAUCUGUAAAAAAUACAUAUGCUAUUAUUUCGAUUUAAAUUAUUUUUGUUUAUCACUUUUUAAACACUUUUUUAAAAAUAUAAAAAGUAAAAGUGUUAAUAAUGCUGUUGACCAUUUUAACAAUUUCAAUGUUGUAACUGAGGAAGUAAGAAUAGGUAGUACAACUGACAAAGACAAAUCACCAACAGAUGAUAAUACAACAAAAAAUCAAAUGUAUUCAAAUUUAUUCAUGUUAUGUAUGUUAAUUAAUUCAAUUAAGCCAGAGAAAAAAGUACAAAGGUUUCAUAUUAAAAAAAAAAAUUUUAUAAAAAAAGAAAAAAUUGAUAGUAUGAAUAUUUAUUUUGAUGAAGAAGAAAGAGAAAUGAUAAAAAAACGAAAAUAUAUAGAAAGGAAAAAUAGACAAAAUAAAAAAAAAAAUGAAAAUAUUACGUAA